GGGCUUGACAUCCCACGAACCUGCCUGAAAGGGCGGGGUGCCCACAAGGGAGCGUGGAGACAGGUGGUGCAUGGCUGUCGUCAGCUCGUGUCGUGAGAUGUUGGGUUAAGUCCCGCAACGAGCGCAACCCUCACCCCUAGUUGCCACCGGGUAAUGCCGAGCACUCGAGGGGAACUGCCAGCGUCAAGCUGGAGGAAGGCGGGGAUGACGUCAAGUCAUCAUGCCCCUUACGCCCUGGGCUACACACGUGCUACAAUGGCCGGUACAAAGGGACGCAAGUCCGCGAGGUGGAGCUAAUCCCAAAAAGCCGGUCUAAGUUCAGAUUGCAGUCUGCAACUCGACUGCAUGAAGGAGGAAUCGCUAGUAAUCGCGCAUCAGCCCGGCGCAGUGAAUACGUUCCCGGGCCUGGUACACACCGCCCGUCACACCACGAAAGCUGUCUGUACUCGAAGUCGCUGAGA
rnacentral:rRNA from 1 species